rnacentral:piRNA from 1 species
UUAUGAUCUUAAAGGUCAGCGAGGGCCAGC